rnacentral:rRNA from 1 species
AUGUUUGCUCUUAUUGGUAAUGUUCCUCCGGAGCCUCACAAACCAGAAGAAGAAGGCAAGAAGAAGGUUAGAGUCGCCACCGGUGCUACUUUCACGUGGAUUGUAUCGAACUUCAGUAUUUGCCCUGAGGAUGCUGAUGAGGACAUGGUGAAGACAUAUGCUCGUGUCUACAUGUGGUACGUGAUAUCCAGGACUAUGUUUGCUGAUGGCACAGGCAAGAAUGCUCCAUGUAUGUGGCUCAAGGCGUUGACCAUCUUCGAUAGCAAAUGGAGUUGGGGUUCGACGACACUGGCUUACUUGUAUAGACAUGUAUGA